GACGACGCUGGCGGCGUGCCUAACACAUGCAAGUCGAGCGGAGAAACAAAAGAGCAGCUUGCUGCGAUUGUUUCUUAGCGGCGGACGGGUGAGUAACGCGUGGGUAAUCUGCCUCGAAACAGGGGGAUAACACAGGGAAACUUGUGCUAAUACCGCAUAAGACCCCACCAUGGCAUCAUGGAGAGGUCAAAGGAAGAAAUUCCGGUUUGAGAUGAGCCCGCGUCUGAUUAGCUAGUUGGUGAGGUAACGGCUCACCAAGGCGACGAUCAGUAGCCGAACUGAGAGGUUGAUCGGCCACAUUGGGACUGAGACACGGCCCAGACUCCUACGGGAGGCAGCAGUGGGGAAUAUUGCACAAUGGGGGAAACCCUGAUGCAGCGACGCCGCGUGAAGGAAGAAGGCCCUCGGGUUGUAAACUUCUUUGACCAGGGACGAAGAAAGUGACGGUACCUGGAGAACAAGCCACGGCUAACUACGUG
rnacentral:rRNA from 1 species